UUCCAGACUCCUACGGGAGGCAGCAGUGGGGAAUAUUGCACAAUGGGGGAAACCCUGAUGCAGCGACGCCGCGUGAGUGAAGAAGUAUUUCGGUAUGUAAAGCUCUCUCAGCAGGGAAGAUAAUGACGGUACCUGAGUAAGAAGCCCCGGCUAACUACGUGCCAGCAGCCGCGGUAAUACGUAGGGGGCAAGCGUUAUCCGGAUUUACUGGGUGUAAAGGGAGCGUAGACGGCAUGGCAAGUCUGAAGUGAAAGCCCGGGGCUCAACCGCGGGACUGCUUUGGAAACUGUUAAGCUGGAGUGCAGGAGAGGUAAGUGGAAUUCCUAGUGUAGCGGUGAAAUGCGUAGAUAUUAGGAGGAACACCAGUGGCGAAGGCGGCUUACUGGACUGUAACUGACGUUGAGGCUCGAAAGCGUGGGGAGCAAACAGGAUUAGAUACCCGAGUA
rnacentral:rRNA from 1 species